ACGAACGCUGGCGGCGUGCCUAAUACAUGCACGUCGCACGCUUCUUUCCUCCCGAGUGCUUGCACUCAAUUGGAAAGAGGAGUGGCGGACGGGUGAGUAACACGUGGGUAACCUACCCAUCAGAGGGGGAUAACACUUGGAAACAGGUGCUAAUACCGCAUAACAGUUUAUGCCGCAUGGCAUAAGAGUGAAAGGCGCUUUCGGGUGUCGUUGAUGGAUGGACCCGCGGUGCAUUAGCUAGUUGGUGAGGUAACGGCUCACCAAGGCCACGAUGCAUAGCCGACCUGAGAGGGUGAUCGGCCACACUGGGACUGAGACACGGCCCAGACUCCUACGGGAGGCAGCAGUAGGGAAUCUUCGGCAAUGGACGAAAGUCUGACCGAGCAACGCCGCGUGAGUGAAGAAGGUUUUCGGAUCGUAAAACUCUGUUGUUAGAGAAGAACAAGGACGUUAGUAACUGAACGUCCCCUGACGGUAUCUAACCAGAAAGCCACGGCUAACUACGUG
rnacentral:rRNA from 1 species